GUAACCGCUAAGUCCACAACACAAUCUUCUUGACAAGGUCUCUUCCUCUUGCUCUUCUUCCUGCUUCCAUUUGGAAUAAAGGAAUACAUAUGCAAGUGAUCAUAUCCAUGGAGCUCCAAACUUAGACUUCUGCAUGAUCACAGCAAUAUAAACAAAGACAAUGUCUAUAUGACUCUAAGAAGGAAAUCCGUUUGCAAUAAACUAAGGCUGCAUGUGUAAGAAGUCUCUACUGAAUAUUUAAAGUGCAUUAUGAAUAGAUUUUUAAUAAGAGCUUACUGCAUGUCCUCUGGCAUUCAGCAUAAGUCAUACAUAGUUUUCCAUCACAGAGUACCAGAGUAUCUGAAACAGCAAUUUAAAACAUGCUCCAAGAAGUUUUGAAUUUCCCUGUAAUUUCAGAUGGAACUUUACAAUAAAAUAAAAUGCUUCAUAAAAG
rnacentral:lncRNA from 1 species